rnacentral:rRNA from 1 species
CAGCAGUAGGGAAUAUUGCGCAAUGGGGGAAACCCUGACGCAGCAAUGCCACGUGAGUGAGGAAGGCCUUCGGGUUGUAAAGCUCUGUCCUAUAGGAAGAACGGCCAUAUGGUUAAUACCCAUGUGGUUUGACGGUACUAUAGAAGAAAGCACCGGCUAACUCCGUGCCAGCAGCCGCGGUAAUACGGAGGGUGCAAGCGUUGUUCGGAUUUACUGGGCGUAAAGCGCGCGCAGGCGGAUUGGCAAGUCAGAUGUGAAAUCUCGGGGCUUAACCCCGAAACUGCGUCUGAAACUGCUAGUCUAGAGUCUCAUAGGGGGCAGGGGAAUUUCACGUGUAGGGGUAAAAUCCGUAGAGAUGUGAAGGAACACCGGUGGCGAAGGCGCCUGCCUGGAUGAGUACUGACGCUGAGGCGCGAAAGCGUGGGGAGCAAACAGGAUUAGAUACCCUGGUAGUCCACGCCGUAAACGAUGAGUACUAGCUAUUGGAGGUAUUGACUC